UGGGCCCGCGGCCUAUCAGCUUGUUGGUGGGGUAACGGCCUACCAAGGCGACGACGGGUAGCCGGCCUGAGAGGGUGUCCGGCCACACUGGGACUGAGAUACGGCCCAGACUCCUACGGGAGGCAGCAGUGGGGAAUAUUGCACAAUGGGCGCAAGCCUGAUGCAGCGACGCCGCGUGGGGGAUGACGGCCUUCGGGUUGUAAACCUCUUUCACUAUCGACGAAGGUUCGGGUUUUCUCGGAUUGACGGUAGAUGGAGAAGAAGCACCGGCCAACUACGUGCCAGCAGCCGCGGUAAUACGUAGGGUGCGAGCGUUGUCCGGAAUUACUGGGCGUAAAGAGCUCGUAGGUGGUUUGUCGCGUUGUUCGUGAAAUCUCACGGCUUAACUGUGAGCGUGCGGGCGAUACGGGCAGACUAGAGUACUGCAGGGGAGAUUGGAAUUCCUGGUGUAGCGGUGGAAUGCGCAGAUAUCAGGAGGAACACCGGUGGCGAAGGCGGGUCUCUGGGCAGUAACUGACGCUGAGGAGCGAAAGCGUGGGGAGCGAACAGGAUUAGAUACCCUGGUAGUCCACGCCGUAAACGGUGGGUACUAGGUGUGGGUUUCCUUCCUUGGGAUCCGUGCCGUAUGUAACCCAUGAAGUCCCUGUGCCGUGAGUGCCGUGCCACAAGGGUUAAAUGC
rnacentral:rRNA from 1 species